UACGUAGGUGGCAAGCGUUAUCCGGAAUGACUGGGCGUAAAGGGUGCGUAGGUGGUUUAGUAAGUUGGCGGUGUAAUUCCGGGGCUCAACCUCGGCGCUACCGCCAAAACUAUUAGACUAGAGUGCAGGAGGGGUAAGUGGAAUUCCUAGUGUAGCGGUGGAAUGCGUAGAUAUUAGGAGGAACAUCAGGGGCGAAGGCGACUUACUGGACUGUAACUGACACUGAGGCACGAAAGCGUGGGGAGCAAACA
rnacentral:rRNA from 1 species